GACGAACGCUGGCGGCGUGCUUAACACAUGCAAGUCGAACGGAAAGGCCCUGCUUUUGUGGGGUGCUCGAGUGGCGAACGGGUGAGUAACACGUGAGUAACCUGCCCUUGACUUUGGGAUAACUUCAGGAAACUGGGGCUAAUACCGGCUAGGAGCUCCUGCUGCAUGGUGGGGGUUGGAAAGUUUCGGCGGUUGGGGAUGGACUCGCGGCUUAUCAGCUUGUUGGUGGGGUAGUGGCUUACCAAGGCUUUGACGGGUAGCCGGCCUGAGAGGGUGACCGGCCACAUUGGGACUGAGAUGCGGCCCAGACUCCUACGGGAGGCAGCAGUGGGGAAUAUUGCACAAUGGGCGGAAGCCUGAUGCAGCAACGCCGCGUGCGGGAUGACGGCCUUCGGGUUGUAAACCGCUGUCGCCUGUGACGAAGCGUGAGUGACGGUAAUGGGUAAAGAAGCACCGGCUAACUACGUG
rnacentral:rRNA from 1 species